UUUUUUUCUUAGUUCCGUAUGGACUACGCAAUCUACCUCGUGAUAUGGUGCAACGACCAUCAGAAGUGGGCAAGAUAUUGGGAUUACUUAUGCAGGGAAAUAAUAGAGUUUGUGUGGUCGGGGUUCGUAGUGGCGAUGUUUUUGGUAUUCGUGGUAUGGGGGGCCUCGGUAAGACCGUCUUAGCCCUGGCUGUUGCUUGGGCUGCCUCAGAUUCUCGUCAGGUUAUCUGGCUGGACAUUGGUGAAACUCCGGACUGCUUAGCACUGAUUAACAUCCUUAUUAAAGUUCUUGGUGGCGGAGCUGUAUCGUUCAGUGAUAUCCCCGCUGCACAAGCCUGGAUCAGAGCAAAUAC